UGAAUUCUAUCUAUUUGCAAACAGUAC
rnacentral:sRNA from 1 species